AGGGGCUGCGUCGCUGGAGGGCGCUCGGCCCCGCGGAGGCCACCUACGCCUCGCAGCGGGAGCCCGAGACCGCCCUCUGCCCUCGCGGUGCCUUUCGCGUCCCUACCCGAUCCUGUCCUGGGCCCUCUCCUCCUUUGCCCUCAGCUGCGUCCCUAUUCCUCCCGCCCUCUCCAGCCUCCGGGUCACUCGCCGGUUGCCCUUGGGCGCGCGGAGUUUAGAAGGCGCGAUUCCCAGGUCCGGGUCUGCCGGCGCCGGCCGCCAGAGAGCAGCAAGCGCCCGGCUUCUGCGGACUGCGGACUGGACCUGGCAAUGCCGCUGCGGGUUGCCUCCAGAGUACCUGGAUGAACUGCCGCACCUCCUUCCUUCUCUAGUUCCACUGACCCGGGCACAGUCUCAGGCACCACUGUCCAGCGCGGUGGCUUGGAGAGAGUCCCGGAAGCGGCCAGAGACUAUGAAAGUGCUUCAUGUUCUGCUACUUUGAAAAUUAUUCAAUCACAGAGGUCCAGAGUCCUGGGUCCACUAAGUUGUUCAUCUGUAAAGGAUCCAUCCAAAAACUCUCCACAAAAGACCUUAGAAUUGAUAAUCAAAGUCAGCAG